UUGGAGGGCAAGUCUGGUGCCAGCAGCCGCGGUAAUUCCAGCUCCAAUAGCGUAUAUUAAAGUUGUUGCAGUUAAAAAGCUCGUGGUUGAAUUUCGGGAUCAGAUUGUUGGUCGUGCCUCGGUACGUACUGGCAUUAUUGGUUCCUACCUUCUGAAGAACCGCGAUGUCAUUAAUUUGGUGUCGUGGGGAAUCAGGACUGUUACUUUGAAAAAAUUAGAGUGUUUAAAGCAGGCGCACGCUUGAAUACAUUAGCAUGGAAUAAUGAAAUAGGACGUUUGAUUCUAUUUUGUUGGUUUCUAGGAUCGACGUAAUGAUUAAUAGGGAUAGUUGGGGGCAUUAGUAUUCAAUUGUCAGAGGUGAAAUUCUUGGAUUUAUUGAAGACUAACUACUGCGAAAGCAUUUGCCAAGGAUGUUUUCAUUAAUCAAGAACGAAAGUUAGGGGAUCGAAGACGAUCAGAUACCGUCGUAGUCUUAACCAUAAACUAUGCCGACUAGGGAUCGGAUGAUGUUAAUUUUAUAAUGACUCAUUCGGCGCCUUACGGGAAAC
rnacentral:rRNA from 1 species